AAAGGUAGUGUUUGUCUGCUUCAGACCGCCUUUGACCAAUGCUCCUGGUGACUGGCUCUCAACUGACUCAGGCCCUGGCUGCCUGGCUGAAGCAAGGCCCAGAAGAAACACCUGCUGCUUCCAGAGGCUGGGGCAUAAAAGGAGGAUGCCAGCAGGAGCCCAAUCACACAACACCAUUCAAGAGAGCCAAAUAAGGCCUUGAAAUCACAAAGGGCCUAGCAGGGCCUAGCAGGGUGAUGCUGCUACUACUUCUUGACCAAGAAACUUGAGAAACACCACUAUGUUAUCUACAGAAUCGCCUAUUCCUGCAGAAUCAGCCCUUUAGGAUACUUAGAUCCUCAGGAAGAUGCUUACUCCAACCAGCCAGCACCUGACUGGUGACCAUCACACAAAGAACCUUUCCAUCAGCUGUCCAAAGACUGAAAUGACCUGCUGGAAGAAAUCUGACAGCUGAAUGAGCUGUCGUAAUUUAAAACGCAAUUGAAGACCCAUCUCUUCCAGCAUCCCUACGCAGUCAACAUUCAGUCAUGAGUUUUGAUUUACAUUCUAUUGAUACUAUAUGUCAAUUCUA